UUAGGAAUAUUGGACAAUGGGGGCAACCCUGAUCCAGCCAUGCCGCGUGUGUGAAGAAGGCCUUAGGGUUGUAAAGCACUUUCAGCUGUGAAGAUAAUGACAGUAGCAGAAGAAGAAGCUCCGGCUAAAUUCGUGCCAGCAGCCGCGGUAAUACGACUGGAGCGAGCGUUGUUCGGAAUCACUGGGCGUAAAGGGUGCGCAGGCGGUCAUGAAAGUUAGAAGUGAAAUCCCAGGGCUUAACCCUGGAAUGGCUUUUAAAACUCCAUGACUAGAGUACUGGAGAGGUUGGCGGAAUUCCGAGUGUAGAGGUGAAAUUCGCAGAUAUUCGGAGGAACACCAAUGGCGUAGGCAGCCAACUGGACAGUAACUGACGCUCAUGCACGAAAGCGUGGGGAUCAAACA
rnacentral:rRNA from 1 species